AAACUUAAAUGAAUUGACGGGGGCCCGCACAAGCGGUGGAGCAUGUGGUUUAAUUCGAUGCAACGCGAAGAACCUUACCUACUCUUGACAUCCAGAGAACUUUCCAGAGAUGGAUUGGUGCCUUCGGGAACUCUGAGACAGGUGCUGCAUGGCUGUCGUCAGCUCGUGUUGUGAAAUGUUGGGUUAAGUCCCGCAACGAGCGCAACCCUUAUCCUUUGUUGCCAGCGGUUCGGCCGGGAACUCAAAGGAGACUGCCAGUGAUAAACUGGAGGAAGGUGGGGAUGACGUCAAGUCAUCAUGGCCCUUACGAGUAGGGCUACACACGUGCUACAAUGGCGUAUACAAAGAGAAGCGACCUCGCGAGAGCAAGCGGACCUCAUAAAGUACGUCGUAGUCCGGAUUGGAGUCUGCAACUCGACUCCAUGAAGUCGGAAUCGCUAGUAAUCGUAGAUCAGAAUGCUACGGUGAAUACGUUCCCGGGCCUUGUACACACCGCCCGU
rnacentral:rRNA from 1 species